ACGCUCGACACCUACGUGAGGCAGCAGUGGGGAAUAUUGCACAAUGGGGGAAACCCUGAUGCAGCGACGCCGCGUGGAGGAAGAAGGUCUUCGGAUUGUAAACUCCUGUUGUUGGGGAAAAAGNGGAUGGUACCCAACAAGGAAGUGACGGCUAACUACGUGGCAGCAGCCGCGGUAAUCUGAGCGGGCUGGCAAGGC
rnacentral:rRNA from 1 species